UUAGAAUUCUAAUCGACCUAACUUCUUAUUUUAAAAUGCUAGCACCAGGGCUACGCAAUUGAUUUAUUCGAUUUCAAACCAAACCGAAGUAAUAAAAUUGAAAAUUAAAAUUCAAGAAAAAUUGAAAUUGAACCAAACUGAUGAUAUAUAGAUAACUGAAUUAAACAAAAUGAUAAAUAUUAGUUUAACUUAAAGCAAACUGAAUUUAUGGAAACUUCAAUAUCGAAAAUUUAGCAAACCAAAAUUCAUUACAUUCGCAGCAGAUUUUACAAUUGAAAUACAAGAAUGAACAGCAUUUACAGUUCCAAUCAAUUGAAAUUAAGAAUGAACAACAUUUACAAUUCCAAUUUCAAGAACAAAAUCAACUAAACUCAUCAAAAUGUCCAAAAUUUUCAAUUUUUGUAGAUCCCCAAAGAAACCCAUAGAGAUAUCAAUCAUAGCGUAGUUCAACCGCAAUACAAAUCAACUAAACUAAUCAAGAUGCCAUAGUUUUCAAUUUCUGUAAAUCCCAAAGAAACCCAUGAAAAGGUAAUCAUACAACAUGAAGAUAUUAAUCACAACAUAAACCCAUGAAGAAGCAUUGAAGAUAUUAAUCACAACAUAAACCCAUGAAGAAGCAUAGGAGAUCUAGUCGCAGAAGCACAAACCCAUGAGAGAUCUUGAGUGAAUCAAUGCAUACAGCAUCUCAUGCAAUUGGUGUUUGAACAAUACUGCCUAGAGCCAUCACCAUCUGAGGGAGAUUAUACUCAUCCAUAAGACUCACAUCGAAGUAAUCCAUCGCAACACAACGAGUUGAGGAAGAAAGGCAAAGGGACUCGAGGAAGGAACAGAGCAGCGAAUGGCAGACACAAGGCAAAGAGAAGAAUAGUGGGCCGAGGCGGGACUCGCAAAGAAGGAGAACGAAAUGAAUCGUAGCCACGCAGGGGUCAAGGGGGAAGAACUAGAAAGAAGAAGAAAAAGAAGAAA
rnacentral:misc_RNA from 1 species